UUUAAAUUGAGAGUUUGAUCCUGGCUCAGGAUGAACGCUGGUGGCGUGCCUAAUACAUGCAAGUCGUACGCUAGCCGCUGAAUUGAUCCUUCGGGUGAAGUGAGGCAAUGACUAGAGUGGCGAACUGGUGAGUAACACGUAAGAAACCUGCCCUUUAGUGGGGGAUAACAUUUGGAAACAGAUGCUAAUACCGCGUAACAACAAAUCACACAUGUGAUCUGUUUGAAAGGUCCUUUUGGAUCGCUAGAGGAUGGUCUUGCGGCGUAUUAGCUUGUUGGUAGGGUAGAAGCCUACCAAGGCAAUGAUGCGUAGCCGAGUUGAGAGACUGGCCGGCCACAUUGGGACUGAGACACUGCCCAAACUCCUACGGGAGGCUGCAGUAGGGAAUUUUCCGCAAUGCACGAAAGUGUGACGGAGCGACGCCGCGUGUGUGAUGAAGGCUUUCGGGUCGUAAAGCACUGUUGUAAGGGAAGAAUAACUGAAUUCAGAGAAAGUUUUCAGCUUGACGGUACCUUACCAGAAAGGGAUGGCUAAAUACGUGCCAGCAGCCGCGGUAAUACGUAUGUCCCGAGCGUUAUCCGGAUUUAUUGGGCGUAAAGCGAGCGCAGACGGUUUAUUAAGUCUGAUGUGAAAUCCCGAGGCCCAACCUCGGAACUGCAUUGGAAACUGAUUUACUUGAGUGCGAUAGAGGCAAGUGGAACUCCAUGUGUAGCGGUGAAAUGCGUAGAUAUGUGGAAGAACACCAGUGGCGAAAGCGGCUUGCUAGAUCGUAACUGACGUUGAGGCUCGAAAGUAUGGGUAGCAAACGGGAUUAGAUACCCCGGUAGUCCAUACCGUAAACGAUGGGUGCUAGUUGUUAAGAGGUUUCCGCCUCCUAGUGACGUAGCAAACGCAUUAAGCACCCCGCCUGAGGAGUACGGCCGCAAGGCUAAAACUUAAAGGAAUUGACGGGGACCCGCACAAGCGGUGGAGCAUGUGGUUUAAUUCGAAGAUACGCGAAAAACCUUACCAGGUCUUGACAUACCAAUGAUCGCUUUUGUAAUGAAAGCUUUUCUUCGGAACAUUGGAUACAGGUGGUGCAUGGUCGUCGUCAGCUCGUGUCGUGAGAUGUUGGGUUAAGU
rnacentral:rRNA from 1 species